rnacentral:tRNA from 1 species
GCGGCUCUACCCCAACGGUACGAGGGGCCAGUCUCAGACACUGGACGAUCUGGGUUCGAAUCCCAGGAGCCGCACCA